GUGGUGUGCCUUGCACCCAAGUCCAGGCAUACUGUUUGGCCCACAAAGGAAAGGCGAUGUCUGAUGUCACCUUCAACCCGCAGGAUCCGCCCGAAGUGUACAGCAACGCAAGCGUCCACAGCCGCCUCAGUGGGUACACCUCGAUGGCACAAGAAGUUCAUGGGGCGGAGUUUGAUGCGAUCAAUGAGCCCAUUGAUGGAGAAGUCGUCAUGAGGGUGGGAGGAGGCAAGAAGCAUGGACGGUACUGGUUUGGCGACAGCUUAGUCGACACGGCGACUACUCCAACUCUCUCGCAGAUUCGAGCCAGGAGUACCAGCUCAAGCCCUGCCAUACGCCCACGGCCAGACACUACACAGACUCAGAUUGAGGCUGUCAAGGCCCAGAUGGAAGCAGCCUUCCAAGCACGGCAGGAGGCGGCAGAGGAGAGGUGUAGGGCCGAGCGGGACGACAUCUAGCAAAAAUUGGAUCAAGCUCUAACAUUUAUCCAAAGCCUGGGCUCGGUGAUGGGUGUUUCGCCUCCACAAUUCCCUCCGGCCCCACUUGUUCGUCGUGCAGAAACUCCUCCUACCAAUCAGUCGGCGGCAUCCAAUGAUGGGCCAGUGAAUCCUGACUUCUCGCCUCCGGUGCAGCAGACUCAGCAGCCUCAGCAGUUUGUGUGGCCACCGCCUCAAUGGGUGGCUUGGAUUCAGCAGCAGCAGCAGCAGCCAGG